UGAAGCUGGAUUCGCUAGUAAUCGCGCAUCAGCCACGGCGCGGUGAAUACGUUCCCGGGCCUUGUACACACCGCCCGUCAAGCCAUGGAAGCCGGGGGUGCCUGAAGUGCGCUGCCGCAAGGAGCGCCCUAGGGUAAAACCGGUGACUGGGGCUAAGUCGUAACAAGGUAGC
rnacentral:rRNA from 1 species